rnacentral:piRNA from 1 species
AGUGGACUGAUUCUUCUCUAGUAGCUG